rnacentral:rRNA from 1 species
GCUUGCUUGGUGGAUCAGUGGCGAACGGGUGAGUAACACGUGAGCAACCUGCCCUGGACUCUGGGAUAAGCGCUGGAAACGGCGUCUAAUACUGGAUAUGAGACGUGAUCGCAUGGUCGUGUUUGGAAAGAUUUUUCGGUCUGGGAUGGGCUCGCGGCCUAUCAGCUUGUUGGUGAGGUAAUGGCUCACCAAGGCGUCGACGGGUAGCCGGCCUGAGAGGGUGACCGGCCACACUGGGACUGAGACACGGCCCAGACUCCUACGGGAGGCAGCAGUGGGGAAUAUUGCACAAUGGGCGGAAGCCUGAUGCAGCAACGCCGCGUGAGGGAUGACGGCCUUCGGGUUGUAAACCUCUUUUAGCAGGGAAGAAGCGAAAGUGACGGUACCUGCAGAAAAAGCGCCGGCUAACUACGUGCCAGCAGCCGCGGUAAUACGUAGGGCGCAAGCGUUAUCCGGAAUUAUUGGGCGUAAAGAGCUCGUAGGCGGUUUGUCGCGUCUGCUGUGAAAUCCCGAGGCUCAACCUCGGGUCUGCAGUGGGUACGGGCAGACUAGAGUGCGGUAGGGGAGAUUGGAAUUCCUGGUGUAGCGGUGGAAUGCGCAGAUAUCAGGAGGAACACCGAUGGCGAAGGCAGAUCUCUGGGCCGUAACUGACGCUGAGGAGCGAAAGGGUGGGGAGCAAACAGGCUUAGAUACCCUGGUAGUCCACCCCGUAAACGUUGGGAACUAGUUGUGGGGACCAUUCCACGGUUUCCGUGACGCAGCUAACGCAUUAAGUUCCCCGCCUGGGGAGUACGGCCGCAAGGCUAAAACUCAAAGGAAUUGACGGGGACCCGCACAAGCGGCGGAGCAUGCGGAUUAAUUCGAUGCAACGCGAAGAACCUUACCAAGGCUUGACAUAUACGAGAACGGGCCAGAAAUGGUCAACUCUUUGGACACUCGUAAACAGGUGGUGCAUGGUUGUCGUCAGCUCGUGUCGUGAGAUGUUGGGUUAAGUCCCGCAACGAGCGCAACCCUCGUUCUAUGUUGCCAGCACGUAAUGGUGGGAACUCAUGGGAUACUGCCGGGGUCAACUCGGAGGAAGGUGGGGAUGACGUCAAAUCAUCAUGCCCCUUAUGUCUUGGGCUUCACGCAUGCUACAAUGGCCGGUACAAAGGGCUGCAAUACCGUGAGGUGGAGCGAAUCCCAAAAAGCCGGUCCCAGUUCGGAUUGAGGUCUGCAACUCGACCUCAUGAAGUCGGAGUCGCUAGUAAUCGCAGAUCAGCAACGCUGCGGUGAAUACGUUCCCGGGUCUUGUACACACCGCCCGUCAAGUCAUGAAAGUCGGUAACACCUGAAGCCG